GGGGUGCUCGUCUAAUGGAUAAGACAACCGCCUUCUGAGCGGACAAUUGGGGUUCGAUUCCCUAGCACCCUG
rnacentral:tRNA from 1 species